GGGUAUUCUGUUCCUGAUGGCAUGGUAUGCCGUCUUCGUCGCUCUCUCUAUGGCCUUAAGCAAGCCCCCCGUGCCUGGUUUGAGCGUUUUGCCUCUGUGGUAACUGUCGCUGGUUUUUCAGCGAGUGCUCAUGAUCCAGCAUUGUUUGUCCACCUUUCUCCACGUGGUCGGACUCUUCUUCUUCUCUAUGUUGAUGACAUGAUCAUCACUGGCGACGACCCCGAGUAUAUUGCCUUUGUAAAGGCCCGUCUUAGUGAGCAGUUUCUUAUGUCCGAUCUUGGACCUCUUCGCUACUUUCUUGGGAUUGAAGUCUCUUCUACCUCUGAUGGCUUUUUUAUAUCCCAGGAAAAGUAUAUACAGGAUCUUCUUACUCGUGCUGCUCUUACCGAUGAGCGCAUUGUUGAGACUCCCAUGGAGCUCAAUGUUCACCUC
rnacentral:rRNA from 1 species